UUCAUCUUCUUUAUCCGCCAAAUUUAAAAAGUCCUGACACACUUCAAAAAGCUUCCACCGCCUAUCAAAUCAGUUCCUAUUUGCAAUACACUAACUCUAGCCUAGUGAAGGUCUUCCUCUUCACCUUUAUUCAUCCAAAUUCUUGUUCUAUUUAAUCCCUAUUCUCACAUCAACUUUCCUCAAAGCUUACCUCUUACUUGGAAUUCUCAAAUUUUUUAUGGAUUUUUCUCUAUCCUCUCUUCACUCCACUUCUUAAGCUAAAGAAAAAUUGAGUUCUCCCCAUCUCCUUCGAUGGAAAUUAUUCCAUUCACUCAACCCAUACCCCAAAUUCCACCUAUUUCUACCAUCAAAAUAUCUCAUUCUGCAGCUUGGAAUGAAUUGAAAGUGAUGAUUGACCCCUUUCGCCAUCCUUCUGCGGAAUUGCCUUAAGAUAUCAUUCUUAUCCAAAUAUCUCUCCUAAAUCCCAUUCUCCUCCUCACUAAGUUACUAAAAGAUCCUGAUCUAGGAUCAAAAAAAUUUCAGGUGCACCCAUUCCUGUGCCAGAUGAUGAGGUUCUUUGAGAAAGCUCUAAGGGCGAGCAAAAAAAAAACGCCCUAUGCCUUCUAGGUAUCCUUCUUAGGAAGCCACUCUCUCUACUGAUGACGACUUACUUCUUAGUUAUGUUCGUUGUGGGAAAAAGGUGAAGAACAUUAUCCCCAAACCCCCUUCUUUCGUUCUGCCAAAUCUCUAUCUUUCCUUAAACCACCUCAAAAGACAACUCCAAAAUCUGCACCACAGCUUUCAAAAAAUUCCAAAUCCUCUUCACGCUCUUCCAAGAAAUCGGUCACUCUACCUACUCCAUCUAUUCCUCUAUAUUUAUCUCACUCUAUGGCUACUUAUGAACCUACCUAUCUAUCUCUUGACCACAUAAUCAAUUUUCAAAAACAAAAAGUAAUGCGAGGUAGAGUUAUUACUGGAAAUCGGGGUCCUAACAUGCCUAUCCUUCUUACCAAGAUAGCUCUUCAAGGAUGGUCAUACCUCUUUCCUCAAGGCACCAUUCAAAGAAAAUUAACUAAGAAAAAGGUUACUAAAUUUUAUAUUAAUGAGGCUCAAGAGAAUGAAAAAGUGAAUAACGAUAAUGUUGAUGAACAAGGCUCUAUGUAUCGUGAAAUUUCAAACUAUAAUGUUCAUUGUACUUGUCUUACAUUAUUAAAGCUAUAUACACCACAUAUACAACAUGUAAAGGAAAGACACUAAGUGUAAACUGCAAGAUCAUUGAAAUAUGAUUCACAGUCUAUUUAUUUUAAGAUCA